rnacentral:lncRNA from 1 species
GAUGGGGAAACCAUUGAUUUUGUACAUCAUUUCUCGUCCUCUUCUCAAUCCAAUUGUGUUGAAGGUCUAUGCUUCAUUUUCUUCUUCAUUUUCUUUCUGUUUUGGAUAUUUGUUGGGUCAUACAAACGUGGAUGGACUUGUAUUCAAAUCGGAUGAGAAUUGAAGGAAGAGGUUUGAUUUUCUUAUGUGUAUGAUAGUUCAAAUGUGCCUCUGGGUGCAUGGCUUGAUAAGAAUUGUGGAUUUUUGAGGGUUUAGAUAAGCAUCUAGUAUCAAGUGUGGAUUUUAUAGGUCUGUUUUAGUGGUAUGUAGUUUAUCUUGCUCUACAUUUUCAGGGAUCUUUAGUGUUUAUUGGUAAGUUAUAGUUUAGAUAUUAACUCUUAUUGUCAUUUUUUAAUGCUCCCAUGUAUAUGUUCCUAGACUGGAGAUUCGGCUCCCCAUUUUUUUUGGUUCUUUGCAAUGAGUUUACUAUUUAUCCUAAAACUUCUCGCCUCCAAUCAUUAUUAACCUGAAGUGGAAUACCUUUUUGUAGCUAUAUACUUGCUAGCUAUGUUUGCAAUUUUCUUGGUUCUAAAAUACUUUUAGAAUAAUCCUCUGUUUGUAAUCAUUUGAUUUUUAAUGAUUUAAGCUCCAAACAUUCUAUCAUAUUGAUGUAAGGAACAAUGAUUUGCAUUUUUCAAUUUCGAAUGGGUGUGUGCUGGGCCUGCUGGCUUCACUUUUCUGCCAUUUGUUAACAAAUGGUGAAUCAUAGGGAUAUUCAACCUCUUCAAUCCUGAACAUAGGUUUGACACUCUUCUUGCUAAAAUAAUAAAAUCCAGCCUUUAUAUGAAACUUCACUUUUCUGCCAUUUGUUAACAAAUGGUGAAUCAUAGGGAUAUUCAAUCUCUUCAAUCAUGAACACAUGUUUGACACUCUUCUUGCUAAAAUAAAAAAAUCCAGCCUUUAUAUGAAACUUCUAGUCAUUCAAUGCCCCAUAUACUGUUUAGAUGGAAAAUUGUAUUUUGUGCUGAAAAUAGUUUGUUAUGUGUACUUCAAUAAUUGAGAAAAACAUGUCCUCCUGCUUAUCAUUUUUGCAUUGGUAAAUAGUAUGAUUCUGAAAUGUGAAAACUGUUAGAGCUAACAUUAACCAGCAUUUGAACUGCAGUAUUCUUGUGCUUGAUUUAUUAGAUCAAGGCAUACAGAAACUAACACAAGAUUUGGAUCGUGUUCUUCUUAUUUAUUUUGUCAGAGUGCACAUCAAUUUAGUAAGAGCUUGAAGCUAGCUGAGAGAGGCAGGGCAUUGUUAACCUCAUCUGGGACUGGUUGAUGAAAAGAAUUUUGACGAUCUGAAGCUAGAAAUCUUCAUUCUGCUACUAUGCUGCUCAAAACUACAAAGCAGCUGUGAUUUGGACAAAACCAUACACAAGACUAAGUUUUUCAUGUUUCUUUAAACAGAGACCAUCUUAUGUAUUUAAAUCCACUGAUUACUGAAACUGAAUCGAAAUCCAAUUCAUAUUUUUACAGAUCGGAUGCAAAUAAGACUCGAUCCAUAUGUAAUCCAUCGUUUGCCGGAUUGAUUUGUAGAUGCAAUUUUUUUUUUCAUCCAAUCUACACAGUAAUUAUAUAAACAAAUAUCUCAUUCAUAUUUUGUUUUUUAAAUUAAAUUUUCUAAUGUAAAAUUAACUUUACUACCAGUUAAAAUCAAAAUUGAACAAGAUAUCAAUUAAUAUUAAGCUACGAUAAUACAUUCAAAAUUUCCAAUUAUAACACACCGAUAUACAAAUUUUUAUUUGUUUUGAUCAAUACAUCAAAUGUAACUAAAAUUAUCAAUUUCAAAGUUCAAACUUCAGAGUUUCGGUGUAACAGCAAAAAAUUAUGAAACUCGAGAAGCUUCAAAAGAAAGUAAGCAAUUAAAUUUAAUUACUUUAAGUGGUGAAGUGAAAUAGUUAUGCCUUGUGCGUGCCGUCGGGGAUAGCUUCGGUGUUAUAUGCCAAAAUGUUUUGUUUAGCUUAUGUUUUUUGUUUUGCUUUUUAUUUCUUAAUGUUUACGAACCUAUAUUUACUUAUUUAUUUAUUUGUUUUUAAAUUGUUAUCGAAUAAGAUAUAAUAUUGUGUUAAUUUAGCUAUAUCUAAAUUUUACAUUUUUUUUACAACUCACUACCAUUGCUAUAUUCAUGAGUUUUAUUUUUUUAAUUCAAUAUAUACUAUUUCUCCCGAUUUCACGAAUUUUUCUGGAUUUACAGACUUAAAUCCUUUUCCAAUUCAUCUAAUACGCAAUUUUACAUUUUCACUCCAAUCCGAUCAUCACGGACCAUUUUUUCACUGAUAGGAAUUUUGCGGAUGGGCUACUUUGACCACCUCUAAUUGGAUUCUGAACACCCCUAGCUGCUGGUUUACAAGUGGUAAUCUAAGGUUAUUUCAAGCUACAAGACCCAAUUUCAACGGACUUACUUAAACGAUUGCUUUUAUACAACACAUUUUUUCCCCUAUUCUGAAACUAUUGUUUUUUAGUUUGCACUUGUUAAUGAAUAUUGAAUAACAUGCCAUAUAAUUUUUAUUAUUACACAAUUUAUCAGGCACCAU